rnacentral:rRNA from 1 species
AUGGCGCCGCCGGCCCUCAUUCUCGCCGGAUCCGGCCGCCUCCACGCCAAAUCCGCCGGAAAUGGAUCCGUCCCGGCCAGAUCCGCCCGGAUCCGACCGGGCCCCGCCGUCGUCGCCACCGGAGCGCCACCCCGCUCAACCUGCAGCGCCACCUUCCACCGGCAGGCCUUGGAGAACCUCAUCUCUCUGAUUUCCUCUCAAUUUUUGCAGGAUGGGCAAGAACCAGAUAUAGUAGUUACAUCUAAAGGGAUGAAUUUAGAGGAAGAUGCAGCAAGAAUUGAUCGAGUAAAAAGGCAACUUCGGCAUGCCAAUGGGACCUUUUCAGUAAGUGCUUUGACUCUGUUUUUUCAUGGCCAUGUGUGGAAUAAUUGCCAAUGA